rnacentral:tRNA from 1 species
GCUCAGUCUAGCUGGUAAAGCAUGAGACUCUUAAUCUCAGUAUCGUGGGUUUAAGUCUCAUGUUGGGCA